rnacentral:rRNA from 1 species
UACGUAGGGUGCGAGCGUUGUCCGGAAUUACUGGGCGUAAAGGGCGCGUAGGCGGUUUGUACAGUCAGAUGUGAAAUCCCCGGGCUCAACCUGGGAACUGCAUUUGUGACUGCAUGACUAGAGUACGGCAGAGGGGGAUGGAAUUCCGCGUGUAGCAGUGAAAUGCGUAGAUAUGCGGAGGAACACCGAUGGCGAAGGCAAUCCCCUGGGCCUGUACUGACGCUGAGGUGCGAAAGCGUGGGGAGCAAACAGG